rnacentral:rRNA from 1 species
AACGAACGCUGGCGGCAUGCCUAAUACAUGCAAGUCGAACGAUCACUUCGGUGGUAGUGGCGCACGGGUGCGUAACGCGUGGGAAUCUACCCUUGGGUUCGGAAUAACAGUUAGAAAUGACUGCUAAUACCGGAUGAUGACGAAAGUCCAAAGAUUUAUCGCCCAAGGAUGAGCCCGCGUAGGAUUAGCUAGUUGGUGAGGUAAAAGCUCACCAAGGCGACGAUCCUUAGCUGGUCUGAGAGGAUGAUCAGCCACACUGGGACUGAGACACGGCCCAGACUCCUACGGGAGGCAGCAGUAGGGAAUAUUGGACAAUGGGGGCAACCCUGAUCCAGCAAUGCCGCGUGAGUGAUGAAGGCCUUAGGGUUGUAAAGCUCUUUUACCCGAGAUGAUAAUGACAGUAUCGGGAGAAUAAGCUCCGGCUAACUCCGUGCCAGCAGCCGCGGUAA